rnacentral:rRNA from 1 species
CAGUCGCCGCGGUAAUACGUAGGGUCCGAGCGUUGUCCGGAAUUAUUGGGCGUAAAGGGCUCGUAGGCGGUUUGUCGCGUCGGGAGUGAAAACCAGCAGCUUAACUGCUGGCCUGCUUUCGAUACGGGCAGACUUGAGGCAUUCAGGGGAGAACGGAAUUCCUGGUGUAGCGGUGAAAUGCGCAGAUAUCAGGAGGAACACCGGUGGCGAAGGCGGUUCUCUGGGAAUGUUCUGACGCUGAGGAGCGAAAGUGUGGGGAGCGAACAGGAUUAGAUACCCCAGUAGUCCCUGUCUCUUAUAC